CCAUUGCACUAUGUUGCCUUCCAUAGGUAUGCAUACCAAGGAAUGUUCAAAAACGAGUUUGAAGGACUAAAGUUUGCUACAAAUAAUGAAGUAUGUGGGGGUGGCUCAUCAUCAAAUUACAUUAGUGGUGAAGAGAUUCUGAGAAAUGAAUGGCAAGUCGACUUGAGUCACUCAAAAUGGGUUGAUCUUGGAAUCUUGUUGGCCAUGAUCGUUCUGUCUCGAGUGCUAUUUUUGGUGAUAGUCAAAACCACUAAGAAGGUAAAACCCAUUGUUGCAUCAUUCUUAUCAGCCCCUCCCAAGAAAUCGAUUCAGAUCAUGGAGAACCCAAAUGUCACUCCGUUGAAUUUGUAGCUUGGCCUACAUUACUUCCACAAGACAAGAUGAACUCUUAGGUGAAGUAUUUUGUAUCUGCUAUAAUGCUUGGAUUAUCAUGAUGUAAUUGAUGUGUAAUAAAAUAAUAAGGGUUAUCACACAUAUCUUAUGGAAUUUUAAUUAUGAAGUUUUAAUCUUUUGAGGUUAAGCCCUUUACAAAAGUUGUUGUGGGUGAGUAGAACUUUCAGAUGACGUAUUGGGUUUUCUAGAAAGUUGAUUUGUUGUGGAAGAGUCUUUUUGCCUAAAAGUGAUUUUGAGCUUGCAUGAGAAUAGUUUUUCCAUAUAAAUUGUUUAUCUCUUAUUUGUGUGCUAGUUAGUUUAGAAGAAAAAUCUUUAUUUAGCUUUCAAAGAGAAGAGACCGAGUGCAUUAUGAGAUUUUUUUUUAGGGUCAAGAGUCUUCGGGCUGAAAGUUAACUCAAGUAGUAAGAGUUAGAGAAGGGUUUGAGAGAGUAAAGGGUGAAGGGUUCAAAGUUCGAAUCAUGAGGAGGACAAAUUUACCAACAUUACUAACAACUUAUAACAUUUUCCUAUAACAAAAAGAGUCACUUUUUAAAGCUUAAGUUGUGUGCUUGAUAAAUUGAUUUGAGACUAGAGAAGUUAGGUUUUGAAAUCCUUAUGAAAAAAUAUUUGAACUUUUAUGCCUGUUCAAGCUUGAAACAAUAGGAAAAGGUUUUCAAAGUUAACCUUGUUGAAAUGGCUUUUGGAUGAGUAUAGAGAAAAGGAUUUUGGGCCAAAAAGAGGAAAAUAAAAAAGAAAAACUUUAUUUGGAGCUUAUUUAUGUGUUAAUUUCUUUAGUGAAAAAAGUUUGUGUGUGUUAUUUUGAAAAUGCCUAAAUGAGUAUUCUAAAUAGUAUUCGAGGACUCUAAGGAAAAUAAAAUAGGAAGUAGUAACCAUUUCGAUUACUUAGCAAAAAUAUGAAUGGAUUUACAUUCAUCAAAACACGAAAAAAAAUAUUUGGCUAACAAAUAAAUUUUAAAUUUACAGACACAAGUUAAAACUUAUUAAAUUGAAUUGGUGCCAAAAAAAUUAUUAAAUUGAAUAAAUGAAUAAGUUUUCUAUUCAGGUAGACAUUAAUUGAGUAGUGCAAGUCGUAGAAUACAACACUGGAAUCAGAGAAGGUAUUAAACAUUGUUUCAAGAUGUAGAUUCUACUAGAGUUUAAGGGAACUAGUUGAAAAAGUUAAAAUUGAGACUAAUAUUGUGGAGGCUCUUAGUAAGCAUAUACACACAGUAUUAAGAAUUAAGAAAUUGUAAAAUACAAUGGAUCCGCCCUUGUUUCUUGCCGCUAUCAAGCGAGGCUCAUGGCUCAAGGCCAUCAUGUGACAUAGAUUGAAAGAAAUGACAAAAAGAGAGAGGAGGAGGAUGUUAAACAGUGCAUGUGAUGGUCACAUUCUUAGAUCUUCAUCCUUUGAGUGCAUAUAUAAACUUUGUUUAAUUUGUUGAGUAAAAGAUUUGUGAAUUUGAUGUGCAUCUUGAGCAUUGUUGGGGUGUUGAAACUGAAAGCAAAACAGCAAAGGAAGGAGAAAGGAAAAGGAUCCAGGAGCUCUGGAAUUUGUUUUCUUCAACCUGGUACCCUUUUCUUUAUUUUGUUGAUUUCACUGGUUCUCUGUUUGUUUCAAAACAUUGGAUUUAUUAACUGCUUGUUUGCACCUGCUGUGUCAUUUUCCUUUCAAAUGUGAUCCACCCAGAAAUGUGAAAUAAUCAAAUCCAUAAAAUGUAGGUCCUAAACAGAGAAACUGCAUAGCAAUCAAAUAAACAACAAACAUUUUAUAAAAUGAGAGUGAUAAGUGAGAUAUUUAUCAAAAGAAAUGUGAUAAGUGAGAGAAUGAUUAUUAAAUGUGAGUAUAAAUGAAAAAAAUUAGAAAAAAAUGUCUUAAUUUUAUAAAACAAUAAAUAUUUUGAAAAAUAUGAAGUGAUACUAAAAUAAUAAUCUUUGUGGAACAGGUAAAAUAUUAAUAUAAUUUUAUAUAUAUUCGAGAAAUUUAUAGAAAAAAUUCAAAAGAAAAAAUUGCUAACAAAUAUACAUAAAACAAACUUUAUAGCAGUUUUUGAGACACAUAACAAAUUUUUGGCAUGACUGUUGGGUCUUGGAAGAAAGUUGCUACUGUGAUGGAGUAUAAUAUCAAUUUUGAUGAAUCAAAGCUGGUUUACGUAAUUGACCAAAAAAAAAAGCUGGUUUACGUCAAUAACAUUGCUACUGUGAUGUGAAUGUAUGCAUGCAUGUACCAACCUCGAAUCAUUAAUUAAGAUUGGGCAAUUAAAUACAAGUUUGAAAUUGGUCUAUUUCUUCAUUGGAGAGCGUUAAUUCCUCCACAGGUAUGCUUAUGCAUUACCGGCAACAUAUCUUUGUGGUUCUUUGUAAUGUUACUAUGUUAGACAAGUGAGUGUGACAUGAAGGGAGAAUCAGAUAAUCUUUUUAAUAAAAAGUUCAGUAAUGUUUGAUAUUUAUUUGAGUUUACUUUCAAAAAAAAAUUAUUUAGUUGAGUUUUUUUUUUCUAAUUAGUAUUUCUGUCAAUAUAAUUCGUGUCCCAAAUAUUUUAAUAAUUUAGUACAUUCACCUAAAGAUUUAAUAAAGAAACAUUCAUUAAGUUCUUUAUUAUAAUUUCUACCAUUCGAAAAUUAUAAAAAAUAUUUUCUUAAAAACUAAUUUGACAUUUUUUCCUUAUAAGAAUGAGGAACGUGGUUGUGAUUUGUGCCAGAAACAAACAAAAGAAGGUUUGUUGCAAGUCCUAGUCUAUUUAUAACUUCGAUUUUCUCAAAAUUUUCACCAAAAACAUUUAUGUAUUUGUUAACAAGUGUUAGUUGUUGGGAAAUAGAGGAUAUGAUUUAAAAUUGGGGAUAAAACUCCACAUUGUGCUAAAGAGCAAAUCACAAGUGAGUUGAACAUCAUAUUUUUCAUCCAAAACCUCAAGGUAUUAGGAGUAUGAGUCUUCUUACUUAUAAACCGCUCAAAAUUAUUCUUAUCUUCCAAUGUGAGAUUUACUCACACUUAAUGAAAGCGGAAGCCUUCAAAUACUUGGCCCUCUAAGUACUUGCACCGUCGUUUGGCUGAUUAACGAGAGCUCGCCACCUGGUCACAACAUUGUCAGGAAGAAUUUCGACACAAGGAGUCUGGCCAAACAACCAUCAGUUCUGAUACCACUGUUGGGCCAAACAGAGGAGAUGAUUUAAAACUAGGAGGAUAAAACUCCACAUUUGGCUAAAAAGCAACCACAAGUGAGUUGGACACCAUAUCUUUCACUCAAAACUUUAAAGCAUUAGGUGUAUGAGUGUUCUCACUUAUAAACCGCUCGAAGUUAUUCUUACUUCUAAUGUGAGACUUACUCACCUUUGAUACACAACAUUAGUAUCGUUUUGAGGAAGGUGGAUUACCCGACUUUCCCUUCAUUUUCCUUUUUCAUCAUCAAACAGAAAAAUAAAACAAGGGAUGACCGUCCUAGUAUGUCGCGAUGCCGAACCAAAAUUAAUUCUCCAAAACGGUUGAGGGACGACCGUCCUAGCAUUUAAUCCUAAGUAUAGUGUGGUUUCAACCUGGCUGCGACUUCCUUCUUGUAUAGGGUAAUUCUCACUUCCACAAAUCCCGACAAACAUAUCUUGGCUCCGGAAAAGCUCACCAGUCUCGUUCUGACCAGAGAGAAAGAGAGAGAUAUUUUCAACUUAUGGACUAAGUUGAUAUUACAUACACAACAUCAGGGACCAAAUUGACACUCAUGUGACACAUAACGUGACAUGAGAUAACCGUUAACUAGAGACGAACAAAAAACCUCCAAAAGGUCUAACGUGUCUCACAUUUUACAAUUUCACGGGCUUCCAGAGGUGCAAAAAUGACAAACACUAUAACUUCAAGGACCAAAUUGAUUACUCACUCGUUGAAUUUUAUCAACUACUUAGCCUAUUUAUGUAAAAUUGAGGUUAGUGUCAAACAACCACUUUAUCCCAAAAGCUUAAGUUAUUGGGUAAGGUCCACUUUAAUGGUUUUAUAUUAUAUUCUAACACGCCCCCUCACGCAAGAGCCCUUUGGGCUUGAAGCGUGGAUAAAUGCACAGGCCCACCCACCAUGUGCUUAAUUAAGUUCCACUUUAUAAUUAGAAAGUGAGGGAGCAAGGAUCGAACUCUAGACCUUUCGGUCAUAGAUGCUCUGAUACCAUGUAAAACAACCACUAGUUGCAUCGGCGCCAGUCCUAACCUUUUCAUCAGGGCAUUGAGUAGUUCCAGUGACAUAACCUUGGAGGUUAUUAGCUUCAAGAAGAUGAGUGAUUUGCUUAUGCUAGAUAAGGUAGUUUGUCAAAUUCAGUUUGAUGGGUAGGCUAGGGGUAAAGUUGAAUUCAAGAAGAUCAGAGGAAGUACAUGUACGUGUAGUGGGAGCCAUGAAGGAUCGAUGAAAGCGAUUAAGCUAGCGAGAAGUCUGAUACCAUAUAGAAAAAGGAGAUGAACAAUAGAAAUGUUAUCUUAUUCCAAUAUGUGCAGAUUACAUGAGUAUAAAUAGAGUAUUUUGAAUUACAAAUACAAAACAGAAAAUAUCUUGUCUACAAUAGAGAAUAUGCUAAAAUUAAAUUUGAAAGUUAUUUUACUCAAUCUGUUUUACUGAUUAUGCCAACAGUUAGCUCAGUCUAUUUCCACCUUAUGUCACCUUAUUUUACACAUACAUCUCUUUUACUUUCUCAUAAAAAAAUUCUUAUAUAUAUAUAUAUAUAUUUGGUCAAAUAAUUUUUUGUCUCAUCCUUUUGUGAAACAUUAUUCAAUAAAAAUCUAUUGCAUGUAAAAGAAAAUGUGAAUGCAUGCAGAAAAAUCUUCCCACGAAAUAAUCUAUAUAUAUGGCUCUUGACAUCAUGCAAAAUCAAUACUGAGCCAUUGUAUUCAAUAAUGGCUUCCCUUAUUCCAGCUGCUCCUAUUGAUCAUGAAAUUAUACCGUGUCCAACAUCAGAGGAACUAUUGAGCCAUUGGACCUGCUUCUGCUGCAUCUGAGGUUAGGAACUAGCCCCAUAGUUUUGGGAAUUGGGUUACGCGGAGGAAUACCCUACAUUAACGCAUUCGUGAUAUUUGAAUUGUACAGUUAAGAUCGGCUGGCUCCUAUUUCUGAUGUAUAUAGGACGGUAAACAUGUCUUAAAAUUUAAGUUGUUUGGUCAAGAUCGAAUGGUUUAAAUUUUUUGACUGCAUAAAAACCGGGAUUCUCGACUUCAGAGAAUCCAUUUUCAUUUUCCACCAUCAGAAAUUUUUAUCUUCCUUUCUCACUAUGAUGUUGCACUUCUAACUCUGCUUUCAUUUUAAUGUAGUUUUUUGCUUCAAAUGGUUUUCCUUGUCCUACCCUCCAGAAUCCAUCUGAUCAUUUACUUAAAACUAUAAACAAGGAUUUUGAGCAGGUAAGCUGACCAUAUGCAUUCAUGCUUUCUUCAUGAUUUCAUUAUAUUCUUAUAUGCAAAUGGCAUUUCCAUUUACAUUUAUUUAAAGUGUGUGCUAGCAUCAGUUUGCACCAGUAUUAAUAUAUAUCCAAACACAUGCAUAGUAGUCAAUAAUACUAGUCAAAAUCAUAUUAAAGUACCUUUUUUUUCAGGACAUUGAGGUAGGUUUAGCUGGGACUAGAACAAUACCCACAACAGAAGCAAUCCAUAUCCUUCUUAGCUCAUAUAAAUCAUCUAAUUGGAACCAAGAAGUUCAAAAUGAAGUAGCAAUAAUACUAUCGGAAAAGGUAUCCUCUAUGGCUAACAAGAUCUUAUAGCAAAUACCUAAAUCUAAAUAUGAUCCAAAGUUAACAUCAAACUAUUAUGGAUUUUCAGGAUUCCAAUCCAACAUACACGAGGAGAGAGCAUGCUGGCUUCCUUAAUCAAUGCUUAGUUCUUACCAAAAGAUCAUCUGUCAACAUGUUUCGUGAUCUAGGCUACUACUGGUUCCGCCUUGUCGUAUAUAUUGCAUUGGGUUUAAGUAUAGCCACUGUCUUCUAUGAUCUUGGUACAACAAAUGGUUCAAUUAAGGUAACAGUGGGAAAGUAAUACAGUAUGACUUACCUAAUAAGCUACACUGCUUCAAUUGAUUAUCGGUUUACCUAAUGUCUUCUAAUUCUACAGUCACUUUUGGUUAUUUCAGGAUAGAGUUUCACUCAUCAUGUUCGUGUCUUCAUUCAUAACUUUGAUGACCAUUGGUGGAUUCCCUUCCUUUGUGGAAGAAAUGAAGGCAAUUCAAAGUUUCAAACCUUUUUUUUUCUCAAUUUUGCAAAUACAUGUAGUCAAUUAUUAUUAUUAUUUAUUUAAUUUUUUGUUUCCAAUUAUUGAUAUAGGUAUUUGAACGUGAAAGACUAAAUGGGCAUUAUGGUGUUACUGCAUAUGUAAUUGGGAACACCUUUUCAUCCAUCCCAUACUUGUUGCUGAUUACAAUAAUUCAUGGAGUUAUAACUUAUUACCCUCCUGGUCUUCCGAAAGGAUAUGAACACUUUCUGUAUUUUUUUUUGUUCUGUUUUCUUGUCUAAUGAUAGUAGAGAGCCUUAUGAUGACAGUUGCAAGCAUUGUUCCAAACUUUCUAAUGGGUAUCAUAACUGGUUCUGGAAUUCAAGGAAUCAUGAUCUUAGGUGGAGGGUUCUUCAGAUUGCCAAAUGAUCUUCCUAAGCCAUUUUGGAGAUAUCCAUUGCACUAUGUUGCCUUCCAUAGGUAUGCAUACCAAGGAAUGUUCAAAAACGAGUUUAAAGGACUAAAAUUUGCUACAAAUACUGAAAUUAAUGCAUAUCAAGUGAAUAUGAGUUACUCAAAAUGGGUUGAUCUUGGAAUCUUGCUGGCCAUGAUUGUUCUGUUUCGAGUGCUAUUUUUGGUGAUAAUCAAAACCACUGAGAAGGUAAAACCUAUUGUUGUAUCAUUCUUGUCAGCGCCUUCCAAGCAAUCUAUUCAGAUCAUGGAGAACCCAAAUGCCACUCCUUGAAUGUUUAGUUUGGUCUAAAUAACUUCCACAGAUAAGGUAAUACCCUAUAAUGAUGUAAUUGAAGUGUAAUAAAAUAAUAAGGGUGAUGAAUAUAUCACUUUGUGGUGGUUUACCCACACAAAAGGUCGUUAUGAACCCUGCAAAAGUGAAAUGUUCAAAAAAUGUCGGUGGAAAAUGUAUGUCUAGCGAUCAUUAUACCUAAUGCGAAAUAAUGUAUAGAUGGAAUAAGAGAAAUGUCUUCUCUUAAGCUUCUUAAUCUUGUGAUAGUAAUAAACUGUGUAUAAGAUCUUAUAUUUAAAUAGUAAAUUUUUUUUUUCUCUAUGUAAAAUUAAAAAGCUUCAAGCUUUCCUCAAAAAAUUUAUUUCAAACA
rnacentral:lncRNA from 1 species